rnacentral:rRNA from 1 species
GAUGAACGCUGGCGGCGUGCCUAAUACAUGCAAGUCGAGCGAACGGACGAGCAGCUUGCUUCUCUGAUGUUAGCGUCGGACGGGUGAGUAACACGUGGCUAACCUACCUAUAAGACUGGGAUAACUUCGGGAAACCGGAGCUAAUACCGGAUAAUAUUUUGAACCGCAUGGUUCAAAAGUGAAAGACGGUCUUGCUGUCACUUAUAGAUGGUUCCGCGCUGCAUUAGCUAGUUGGUAAGGUAACGGCUUACCAAGGCAACGAUGCAUAGCCGACCUGGGAGGGUGAUCGGCCACACUGGAACUGGGACACGGUCCAGACUCCGACGGGAGGCAGCAGUAGGGAAUGUUCCGCAAUGGGCGAAAGCCUGACGGAGCAACGCCGCGUGAGUGAUGAAGGUCUUCGGAUCGUAAAACUCUGUUAUUAGGGAAGAACAUAUGUGUAAGUAACUGUGCACAUCUUGACGGUACCUAAUCAGAAAGCCACGGCUAACUACGUG